rnacentral:rRNA from 1 species
UACGGAGGGUGCAGGCGUUAUCCGGAUUCACUGGGUUUAAAGGGUGCGUAGGAGGGCAGGUAAGUCAGUGGUGAAAUCUCCAAGCUUAACUUGGAAACUGCCGUUGAUACUAUCUGUCUUGAAUACCGUGGAGAUGAGCGGAAUAUGUCAUGUAGCGGUGAAAUGCUUAGAUAUGACAUAGAACACCAAUUGCGAAGGCAGCUCGUUCCACGAAUAUUGACUCUGAGGCACGAAAGCGUGGGGAUCAAACAGG